rnacentral:rRNA from 1 species
AUUGAACGCUGGCGGCAUGCUUUACACAUGCAAGUCGAACGGUAACAGGCCGCAAGGUGCUGACGAGUGGCGAACGGGUGAGUAAUGCAUCGGAACGUGCCCAGUCGUGGGGGAUAACUACUCGAAAGAGUAGCUAAUACCGCAUACGAUCUAUGGAUGAAAGCGGGGGACCGUAAGGCCUCGCGCGAUUGGAGCGGCCGAUGUCAGAUUAGGUAGUUGGUGGGGUAAAGGCUCACCAAGCCAACGAUCUGUAGCUGGUCUGAGAGGACGACCAGCCACACUGGGACUGAGACACGGCCCAGACUCCUACGGGAGGCAGCAGUGGGGAAUUUUGGACAAUGGGCGCAAGCCUGAUCCAGCAAUGCCGCGUGCAGGAAGAAGGCCUUCGGGUUGUAAACUGUUUUUGUACGGAACGAAACGGCUCUGGUUAAUACCCGGGGCUAAUGACGGUACCGUAAGAAUAAGCACCGGCUAACUACGUG